rnacentral:rRNA from 1 species
GUGAAGAUGCGGACUACUAAUACUUGGACAGAAAGACCCUAUGAAGCUUGACUGUAUCCUGGAAUUGGGUUCGGGCUUUUCUUGCGCAGUCUAGGUGGGAGGCUAUGAAGAUUUCCUUCCGGGGAAGUUGGAGCCAUCAGUGAGAGACCACUCUGGAGAGGCUAGAAUCCUAAUGGUGAUCCUUGAAUCAGGACACUUGACAGUUUCAGGUGGGCAGUUUUUCUGGGGCGGAAGCCUCUUAAAGGGUAACUGAGGCGCGCAAAGGUCCCCUCAGUCUGGACGGAAAUCAGACAACGAGUGUAAAGGCAAAAGGCGGCUUGACUGCAAGACCUACAAGUCGAGCAGGAGCGAAAGCUGGCCUUAGUGAUCCGACGGUACCGAGUGGAAGGGCCGUCGCUCAACGAAUAAAAGUUACUCUAUGGAUAACAGGCU